AUCAGAAGGCAGCUAAAGAACCGAGGAGAAGUGGGCGAAGAUAUCCGGUAAGCCUUCAAGUCAACUUCCUUACAUAGUGUGAUACACGAAGUCAUGGUGUCCAAAGAAACAGGCUGUGCCAUAUCGGUGUGUUUAUAACCUCAAUUGUGGAGUGUGAAUUCACUACUGAUCUCUUAUAUACUGGUGCAGAUUCGGAGGAUGACGAUUAGAUUGCAGAUUGUGUCAAGCCAAUUCAGUUUGACAAGCUUAUUUGUAGAUGCAGAGGUUGAGAAUGUACCUUCGGUGAGGAACUCAUUUUGAAGUACAUACACAGUCAAACUAAGGACACUUUUCAUGAGUUCUUGUGUAUAAAAUGAAAAACAGGCAUUGUGUAAGUUUCCCUUUUGGCUCCAUUGAUAAAACUUCAGUUUAUUUCUUUCUGGAAUUAAUGGCAUAUAGUGCCACCACCGGCAUACUAUUACGAAAGAAAAUAAUCAUUGUUGAAGCGGCUACAAUUUAGUUCUUUCAGGUUUUCUUGGAGCAUGUAAGAGGUGACAAGAAAACUGUCAAAACUUUUGCCAUGAUAAUCAAAGGUUAUUUGAGCUUUAAAGAGGAGAAACCCAACAUAGAAGACGGGAGGGAGAGUAGUUUCUCUGCUCACCAUGUUCUGGGAUAGAUAUUAGAGUUCAUAUUUUAAGCCUGAUGCUUUCAGCCAGAUGUAGCCCAAUUUGAAGAAAACCCCCUGACCCAACCUUCAAAAACAGAGGAAUUUUAACUCAGAAACAGAGAAAGCAGGAGAUGAGAUGUUGCACGGAUGAAAAGUGAACAGAAGGAGGAAUUUUAAAUGGACAACCACUAUACUGAAAAUUAUGAUGUUCUAACUCUGUUAUGACUGUUUUCAUUGCGACAUGCCUACAAUUUCUACGCUGCAAAGUUGCUCACAUUCAAGAAGUUUGUUUGGCACAUUCUUCAUCUUAUUUUGCAUCACCAAUCUCAGUUCCUUAUCCUUGGCUUAGAGCUUUUCUCCUUGGAGUAUUCUUCAUUUUGCCUUAUCUGCUUGGCAUUACUACCUUGGAAUCUUUGAUGCAUUGCCUAUUGCAUAAUGCUUCCUUCUUGUUUAAUAAGAUCAAGAGAAGCACACAUGUAUUGAUUUUUUUCCCCAGUGAGUUUGGGUAGCGGAGAGCUUUGACACAAGUUUUUAAUUCUGUUGCCAACAUAUAUGCGGGAACUUUCUUUUGUGGAAGCAGAUGAUACUUCACUGGCGGGUUUUGAAGAGUUAUGGACUCAUUGAUGUGCAACAAGAUGAAGCUUACGGUGAUAGAUUGAUUCCUACAUUUUCAAAGGCACAAAUGUGAUGUUAGAUGGUUGUGUGCUUUUUGUUAUCUUCUUGUACAUAGACACAAGGUCAUUAUGAGUAAUGAAGGUGACUCCUCUCAGCAAUGAUGUUGCACUCUCCACUAAUUUCUCUUCCCCCCUUGCAUGUUCAAAGGCUAGAGGGUUUUGUAGAAUCAACAGCCAGUCGUUGUCUUUAUUUAUGUGGCACUUCAAAACAAGAUGUUUAACCGUGGUUUAUCUAUGGCUCAUGUAUAGAAAUGGUGUAUACAAUA